AGAGUUUGAUCCUGGCUCAGAGCGAACGCUGGCGGCAGGCUUAACACAUGCAAGUCGAGCGGGCACUUCGGUGUCAGCGGCAGACGGGUGAGUAACACGUGGGAACGUACCCUUUGGUUCGGAAUAACGCUGGGAAACUAGCGCUAAUACCGGAUACGCCCUUUUGGGGAAAGGCUUGCUGCCGAAGGAUCGGCCCGCGUCUGAUUAGCUAGUUGGUGGGGUAAUGGCCUACCAAGGCGACGAUCAGUAGCUGGUCUGAGAGGAUGAUCAGCCACACUGGGACUGAGACACGGCCCAGACUCCUACGGGAGGCAGCAGUGGGGAAUAUUGGACAAUGGGCGCAAGCCUGAUCCAGCCAUGCCGCGUGAGUGAUGAAGGCCUUAGGGUUGUAAAGCUCUUUUGUCCGGGACGAUAAUGACGGUACCGGAAGAAUAAGCCCCGGCUAACUUCGUGCCAGCAGCCGCGGUAAUACGAAGGGGGCUAGCGUUGCUCGGAAUCACUGGGCGUAAAGGGCGCGUAGGCGGCGUUUUAAGUCGGGGGUGAAAGCCUGUGGCUCAACCACAGAAUGGCCUUCGAUACUGGGACGCUUGAGUAUGGUAGAGGUUGGUGGAACUGCGAGUGUAGAGGUGAAAUUCGUAGAUAUUCGCAAGAACACCGGUGGCGAAGGCGGCCAACUGGACCAUUACUGACGCUGAGGCGCGAAAGCGUGGGGAGCAAACAGGAUUAGAUACCCUAGUAGUCC
rnacentral:rRNA from 1 species